CCUACGGGAGGCAGCAGUAAGGAAUAUUGGUCAAUGGACGCAAGUCUGAACCAGCCAUGCCGCGUGAAGGGUUAAGGCCCUCUGGGUUGUAAACUUCUUUUAUAGGGGACGAAAAAGGGCAUUCUUGCUCACUUGACGGUACCCUAGGAAUAAGCACCGGCUAACUCCGUGCCAGCAGCCGCGGUAAUACGGAGGGUGCAAGCGUUAUCCGGAUUUACUGGGUUUAAAGGGUGCGUAGGUGGGUUGGUAAGUCAGUGGUGAAAUCUUCGAGCUUAACUCGGAAACUGCCAUUGAUACUAUCAAUCUUGAAUCAUCUAGAGGUAAGCGGAAUAUGUCAUGUAGCGGUGAAAUGCUUAGAUAUGACAUAGAACACCAAUUG
rnacentral:rRNA from 1 species